UACGAGAGGCCCAAACGUUAUUCGGAAUUACUGGGCUUAAAGAGUUCGUAGGCGGCAUUGCAAGUAGGGUGUGAAAGCCCUCGGCUUAACCGAGGAAUUGCGCUCCAAACUACCGUGCUUGAGGAAGCUAGAGGUGAGCAGAACUGAUGGUGGAGCGGUGAAAUGCGUUGAUAUCAUCAGGAAUACCGGAGGCGAAGGCGGCUCACUGGGGCUUUUCUGACGCUGAGGAACGAAAGCCAGGGUAGCGAACGGG
rnacentral:rRNA from 1 species